CGGGGUAUAGCUCAGUGAUAGAGUCCACGCUUAGCAUACAUGAGGUCCUGGGUUCAAUCCUCAGUACCUCCA
rnacentral:tRNA from 1 species